AACAGGAACUGAUGGGAGCACGCCGCGUGAGUGAGAAGGGUUUCGGCUCGUAAAGCUCUGUUGGUAGUGAAGAAAGAUAGAGGUAGUAACUGGCCUUUAUUUGACGGUAAUUACUUAGAAAGUCACGGCUAACUACGUGCCAGCAGCCGCGGUAAUACGUAGGUGGCAAGCGUUGUCCGGAUUUAUUGGGCGUAAAGCGAGUGCAGGCGGUUCAAUAAGUCUGAUGUGAAAGCCUUCGGCUCAACCGGAGAAUUGCAUCAGAAACUGUUGAACUUGAGUGCAGAAGAGGAGAGUGGAACUCCAUGGGGGGCGGUGAAAUAAA
rnacentral:rRNA from 1 species